rnacentral:miRNA from 1 species
UGGCACGAGACGAACUGAGUUC